GAUGAACGCUGGCGGCGUGCCUAAUACAUGCAAGUCGAGCGAAUGGAUUGAGAGCUUGCUCUUAUGAAGUUAGCGGCGGACGGGUGAGUAACACGUGGGUAACCUGCCCAUAAGACUGGGAUAACUCCGGGAAACCGGGGCUAAUACCGGAUAACAUUUUGAACCGCAUGGUUCGGAAUUGAAAGGCGGCUUCGGCUGUCACUUAUGGAUGGACCCGCGUCGCAUUAGCUAGUUGGUGAGGUAACGGCUCACCAAAGCAAGGAUGCGUAGCCGACCUGGAAGGGUGAUCGGCCACACUGGGACUGAGAAACGGCCCAGACUCCUACGGGAGGCAGCAGUAGGGAAUCUUCCGGAAUGGACGAAAGUCUGACGGAGCAACGCCGCGUGAGUGAUGAAGGCUUUCGGGUCGUAAAACUCUGUUGUUAGGGAAGAACAAGUGCUAGUUGAAUAAGCUGGCACCUUGACGGUACCUAACCAGAAAGCCACGGCUAACUACGUGCCAGCCGCCGCCGUAA
rnacentral:rRNA from 1 species